rnacentral:rRNA from 1 species
GAUGAACGCUAGCGGCAGGCUUAAUACAUGCGAGUCGAGGGGCAGCGCAGUGUAGCAAUACAUGGGCGGCGACCGGCAAACGGGUGCGGAACACGUACGCAACCUUCCUUUAAGUGGGGGAUAGCCCAGGGAAACUUGGAUUAAUACCCCGUAAUAUUAUGAAGUGGCAUCACUUUAUACUUAUAGCUCCGGCGCUUAAAGAUGGGCGUGCGACUGAUUAGGUAGUUGGCGGGGUAACGGCCCACCAAGCCUGCGAUCAGUGACUGGUGUGAAAGAACGACCAGUCAAACGGGCACUGAGACACGGGCCCGACUCCUACGGGAGGCAGCAGUAAGGAAUAUUGGUCAAUGGACGCAAGCCUGAACCAGCCAUGCCGCGUGGAGGAUGAAGGUCCUCUGGAUUGUAAACUUCUUUUAUUUGGGAAGAAACCCACUGUUUCUACGGUGGUUGACGGUACCAGAUGAAUAAGCACCGGCUAACUCCGUGCCAGCCGCCGCCGUAA